rnacentral:lncRNA from 13 species
UGUGACGUCGCCGGAGGCCCGUCUCCGUGCGCCGUAAUGUCACCGGAGGCGCCCGCCGAAGCGUCACCGGAGGCGCCCGCCUGACGUCACUGGAGGCGCGCCGCCAUGAUGUUUUCAGAGGCCGGCCCCUCACGCGGAGCCAAUCGGAAGUAGAGGCGGUGCCGCUGGGUCUUCCAGGAGCGCGCAUGCGCAGGCUGGUGAUGGAAGCCGCUGCAGAGCCGGUACAUCCGCAUAGACAGGCUCCCGACUGGCUGCAGUCACCUAUAAACUCCAAAGAGGAGUUUUAAGAUUUCCCAGUCUGCAGGGCCAGGAGCGGCAGGGACCCGACUCAGCGAGUAGAUGCUGCCCACCAACCUCCCGGCACCUGCUAGGCACGAGUGCAAGGUCGCGCAGAAGCUCCUCAAUGGACAGUGAAGGGCUACCAGUGCCACUGCUACUCCGGACACGUAUUCUUGCCUCAGCCCAGAUGAGCAUUCCACCAUCCAGAGACCCGAUCUCUCCCAGGAAGAGCCUGUUAGCAGCCGAGAUGCCCAUGAUUGAAGGACUCCUACAGAGCACACAGCAAGAGUCACUAAUCUCUCCAUAAGGAACAGAGCAUGGCAACAGCUGUGGAUGCUGCCUGCGUGGCCAGGGGUCCUAGCAGCACUGACCUGCAAGGUAGGAGUUUCGAUUCUUAGACCUGUGACCUUGGGCAAGUCACUUUACCCUUCUGAGCCUCAGUUUACUCAUCUGUGAAAUGAACAGGCUGGAUGAAGCUGGAGGAUUCUUAAGGUCCCUUCCUAACCCAAAUCCUAGUGCUUCUCGGCUCCCCUCCAGUUCUGUUACCGAGUGACAGGGAGGGGCGCAAAGGCCGGGCCAGGCCCGGGGAUUGUAGAGGAGCCAGCUGUUCCCACCCGAGGGUGCAAGCCUCCUG